GUGCCAGCAGCCGCGGUAAUACGUAGGGUCCGAGCGUUGUCCGGAGUUACUGGGCGUAAAGCGCGCGCAGGCGGCUCGUCAAGUCUGGCGUGAAAGCCCCCGGCUCAACCGGGGAGGGUCGUCGGAGACUGGCGAGCUUGAGGGCGGUAGGGGCUGGUGGAAUUCCCGGUGUAGUGGUGAAAUGCGUAGAGAUCGGGAGGAACACCCGUGGCGAAGGCGGCCAGCUGGGCCGUCCCUGACGCUGAGGCGCGAAGGCGUGGGGAGCGAACGGGAUUAGAAACCCCUGUAGUCC
rnacentral:rRNA from 1 species